CAAUGACCUCAAAUCAGAUGAGACUACCCGCUGAACUUAAGCAUAUCAAUAAGCGGAGGAAAAGAAACUAACAAGGAUUCCCUCAGUAACGGCGAGUGAAGAGGGAAGAGCUCAGUUUUGAAAUCUGGCAGUCAUUCACUGUCCGAGUUGUAAAUUGAAGAGAGUGUCAUCCACACUGGACCAUGUCUAAAUUGUAAUGAUC
rnacentral:rRNA from 1 species